rnacentral:rRNA from 1 species
UACGUAGGUGGCAAGCGUUGUCCGGAUUUACUGGGCGUAAAGCGCGCGUAGGCGGACCUGCAAGUCGGGGGUGAAAGCCCGAGGCUCAACCUCGGAACUGCCUUCGAUACUGCGAGGCUCGAGUAUGGAAGAGGGUCGCGGAAUUCCCGGUGUAGAGGUGAAAUUCGUAGAUAUCGGGAGGAACACCAGUGGCGAAGGCGGCGACCUGGGCCAAUACUGACGCUGAGGUGCGAAAGCGUGGGGAGCAAACAGG